rnacentral:snRNA from 1 species
UUACUUACCUGGACGGGGUCAAUGGGCGAUCAUUAAGGCCCAUGGCCUAGACCUGUGGCCUCCAUUGCACUUGGGGAGGUGCACCUGUCUAAGGUCUCCUCUUAGUAGGAGAGCCUACGUCAUAAUUUGUGGCAGUGGGGGCCUGCGUUCGCGCGGCCCCUGC